AGAUCAUUUGUGUGUGUGACGGAUGGAUUCCCGCCGCUGAUUUGACUACUUUACACGUUUUAUAAGCUCUUCACGAGUUCCCAGCUGGCCAAAAUACCAUCACAUGCAGGCUACGCACCGCUACGCAUACACAACGAGUGCAUUUACCUCAGAAAACAGCAUUGUUUUGGAUGUUAGGUAAGUUCCGUCUCAAAAUAGGCAAUACGUCAUAAAAUCUGACCAAUCACGUUGUGAAUGUAUCCCUAUGCCUUAUGGUUCGGUAUCUUUUGGUUCGGUGAUAAAAUUGCCAAUCUGAACGCUAACCGGACCAGGACUAAAUGUUUUUUUUUCUUCUUUGGUCCGGACCAAACGAACCGAACUACAAGUGUGAACGCACCCUGAGAGUCCACAACAGCAGUGUUGUAUUGAUUUAGCCCAAUCGUUACAUGACCUGGUUAUACAAUUAAAAUCUUUUUCCGUUUAGAUCAUGUUUGCAAAAAGCUGAUCAAGAACAUAAGGAGCAGGGAGUGGAGCAGCGUUUUCACAAGCAAAAUUCUGCUGCUGACCCAGAGGAUGGAGUGGAAGUACCAGAUAUCCAUCAGAGAAGAAUUUAUUUCGUUCAGACAUAUCACCUUUGAAUGACUGGGAUCUUGAUCUUCAGACACCUAAUAUUAUGCAAAUAUUUUACUUUCUUUAGCGCUCUAGAUUAAAACAAACACAGCUCAGAAAUAAAUAAGAUGUUGUACUUUACUCCUAUUACUCGAUGCUGAUCUUGGAUAAACAAGAAUUAAGAUAACCCAUCUCUGAGUCCAUGUAAUGCAAAUGAAUAUGUAUUUUAAAAAGGUUACACUUUAAAAACCACACACAGUGACUGUGACAGUUAUCUAUACAACCCCAGUGAAGUAAAACAAUAGGUAACUAUUUACCAUCGCUUCUGACUAACUGCAUGCUACAAUCUACUUGAAUAUGGACUCACAGAGAUUGAUUAUUUUCUUAAAAAGCAGUGUUUAUAUGAAGAAAGUAAUAUAGUACAUCUUGGAUGGCAUGAAAGACUAUUAACAAAGACAUAUAUUGCACUCCCCUACCACAUAUUGUACCCACUGUCACUGUUUUAUUUUUACUGUGACAGUAACUGUUUAAAUGAUCUCUGCAUCAUUAAAAUAAAACAUUUUACACAUA